rnacentral:lncRNA from 1 species
AGGGGCUCUCUCUGGCUCCCUGUCUGGAAUGCGCUCAGGAACUGUUCCUUCCAGUUGUAUGUCGACUUUCCUCCCAGGGUCAGAGUUGUCCUCGGGGUGGCUGGCAGGGCUGCCCUGGGACCCUCAUCCGUCCUCUAGCCCUGGAAGAGGAGCUCUCUCUGGGGCCCUGGGGGUGGGGAGGACAGUGACGACACCAGGAGGAGAGAAUAGCUCCUUUCUGUACCAUGUCCUCAUCACCGGGUGACAGAUGACAGCCUGUGGCUCCUCUGGGGCAGAAAGGUGUGGAAGAGAAAUCCCGGGCAAGAGUCAAGGACAAUCCUGUGAGGUGGGAACCAUUAUUAUUCCUCUGUGACGACCAAGGGAACAGAGACUCAGAAGCAUCGGGUGGCUUGUCUGAAGGCAUGCAGCCAGUUAAGUGGCCAAGGUGGAGACCCAGGCAUUCAGGCUGCAGCGUCUCUAGAAAUAACAAAAACAACCCCAAGAAUAAUUGCCGCCAUCCGACCAGAGACGCAGGCACUGUUUCCAUUAUCCCUCGUUACAGAUGGGGAAACUGAGGCCCAGGGAGGCCAGGUCUGGUGAUGUGCCCAGUGCCUUGUGGUAGGCGGGUUCUGAGCCCGGCCUGGUGCCACUCCGGAGCGGGUCCUGCCCCUUGAUGACCUGCUCUGCUGCUUUCCAUGACGGGCUGCUCCUCCAGCCUCCUUGCAAAUGCUUCAUCUCAUCGGUCCCACGGCUACGGGAGGUGGGCUGUUGUUUCUACUGCACGGAGGAUGGCGACGCGGCAGACACAGAGAGGUCGCUUCUCCAAGGCUGCAGAGCCAGCAAGG